GACGAACGCUGGCGGCGUGCCUAAUACAUGCAAGUCGAACGAGAGCGACCGGUGCUUGCACUGGUCAAUCUAGUGGCGAACGGGUGAGUAACACGUGGGUCACCUGCCCCUCAGAGGGGGAUAAUAUCCGGAAACGGCUGCUACAACUGCCUCGGACUUCGAACCGCAUGGUUUGAAGAGGCAAAGAAGCGCAAGCUUCUGCUGAUGGAUGGACCCGCGGUGCAUUAGCUAGUUGGUGAGGUAACGGCUCACCAAGGCCAUGAUGCAUAGCCGACCUGAGAGGGUGAUCAGCCACAUUGGGACUGAGGCACGGCCCAGACUCCUACGGGAGGCAGCAGUAGGGAAUCUUCCGCAAUGGACGCAAGUCUGACGGAGCAACGCCGCGUGAGUGAAGAAGGUUUUCGGAUCGUAAAACUCUGUUGUUAGAGAAGAACAAGUGCUAGAGUAACUGUUAGCGCCUUGACGGUAUCUAACCAGAAAGCCACGGCUAACUACGUG
rnacentral:rRNA from 1 species